GGCGGCGUGCUUAACACAUGCAAGUCGAGCGGAAAGGCCCCUUCGGGGGUACUCGAGCGGCGAACGGGUGAGUAACACGUGAGCAACCUGCCCCUGACUCUGGGAUAAGCCCGGGAAACUGGGUCUAAUACCGGAUAUAACCAUUGGUCUCAUGACCGGGUGGUGGAAAGUUUUUCGGUUGGGGAUGGGCUCGCGGCCUAUCAGCUUGUUGGUGGGGUGAUGGCCUACCAAGGCGACGACGGGUAACCGGCCUGAGAGGGCGACCGGUCACACUGGGACUGAGACACGGCCCAGACUCCUACGGGAGGCAGCAGUGGGGAAUAUUGCGCAAUGGGCGGAAGCCUGACGCAGCGACGCCGCGUGAGGGAUGACGGCCUUCGGGUUGUAAACCUCUUUCAGCAGGGACGAAGCUAACGUGACGGUACCUGCAGAAGAAGCGCCGGCUAACUACGUGCCAGCAGCCGCGGUAAUACGUAGGGCGCAAGCGUUGUCCGGAAUUAUUGGGCGUAAAGAGCUCGUAGGCGGUUUGUCGCGUCUGUCGUGAAAGCCCACGGCUUAACCGUGGGUCUGCGGUGGAUACGGGCAGACUAGAGGCAGGUAGGGGAGAAUGGAAUUCCCGGUGUAGCGGUGAAAUGCGCAGAUAUCGGGAGGAACACCGGUGGCGAAGGCGGUUCUCUGGGCCUGUACUGACGCUGAGGAGCGAAAGCGUGGGGAGCGAACAGGAUUAGAUACCCUGGUAGUCCACGCCGUAAACGUUGGGCGCUAGGUGUGGGGUCCUUCCACGGAUUCCGCGCCGCAGCUAACGCAUUAAGCGCCCCGCCUGGGGAGUACGGCCGC
rnacentral:rRNA from 1 species